UCCCUGAUGGUCUAGUGGCUAGGAUUUGGCACUCUCACUGCUGUGGCCCAGGGUUCGAACCCCAGUCAGGGAA